GGGGGGCUGUAUCCCAGGUUGGGAUGCCAUAUCCUGGAUUGGGGUGCUGUAUCCCAGGUUGGGAUGCCAUAUCCUGGAUUGGGGUACCGUGUCCCAGAUUGGGAUGCUGUAUCCCGGGUUGGGGGUGCUGUAUCCCAGGUUGAGAUGCCAUAUCCUGGAUUGGGGUACCAUGUCCCAGAUUGGGAUGCUGUAUCCUGGGUUGGGGGUGCUGUAUCCCAGGUUGGAAUGCCAUAUCCGGGAUUGGGGUACCAUGUCCCAGAUUGGGAUGCUGUAUCCUGGAUUGGGAUGCUGUAUCCCGGGUUGGGGGAGCUGUAUCCCAGGUUGGAAUGCCAUAUCCGGGAUUGGGGUGCUGUAUCCCGGGUUGGGGGUGCUGUAUUCCAUGUUGGGAUGCUGUAUCCUUGUUUGGGGUGCUAUAUUCUGGGUUGGGGUGCUGUAUCCUGGGUUGGGUUC